rnacentral:RNase_P_RNA from 1 species
GCAGUGCUCCGGUCUGCCGCCGGCAUUUUUUAGUGCGGGAGGAAAGUCCGGGCAGCGCAGGGUGCUCCACUUCUGAAAAUGGAAGCUAUUGGCGACAGUAGGUUAAGGUAGAAGAAAACAACCGCCUUUUCUUUUGAAUUGGUAAGGGUGAGAAGGUGGUGUAAGAGACCACCGGCCGUCGGGUGACCGUCGGGCUGUACCGUCUGGAGGCUGCAAGUUCAUGUAUACCACCGUCUGAGGGUUGCCCGCCCGACUUAUUCCGGUGGAGGGUAGAACGCUUGAGCCGUAUGGUGACAUACGGAUUAGAUAAAUGGCAGACACCGUUGUGUCAGCACAGCGGAACAGAACCCGGCUUAUAGGGGCAGUGCUUUC